CGCUGGACAAUACAAAGCUAUAGCUUAUUUCUGUAAUGACGAAGAAGGAGGUUUUUGAAUUUGGUAAGACUGGAUGCAUGUAAUUAUGGGAUGAGGGAGCUCAUUCCAUAUCUUAACUGUCGUAGGGAAAAAUGAAUUUAUAAAAUAAUUCUGGUAUAUAGAGUCAAGGGACUUGUACACGGUGAGAGACAGUUCAACGUCAAACAAAGAUCUUCUAUUUUGUAGCUUUGAAGUUUACCGGGCUUCCAGACCAACAUAUCUUGACAAGAUUAUUGAAGAGGCCCUUUCCAUACACGCGACAAAUAUUUCAAAAGAAAUGAAUGGCUGGAUGGCUUAGAAAACAGUAGGAUUUUCAAACAAUGAAAAUAAAAUAAAACAUUUCCAUCACUGCAUCGAUCGUGACUGACAUGGCACAAUAAUGUUCAGCUAAUUAAGUCCUUCU